UACGGAGGAUCCAAGCGUUAUCCGGAUUCACUGGGUUUAAAGGGUGCGUAGGUGGAAUGACAAGUCAGUGGUGAAAACCUGCAGCUUAACUGUAGAACUGCCAUUGAUACUGUUAUCCUUGAGUACAUUUGAUGUGAGUGGAAUGUGUCGUGUAGCGGUGAAAUGCUUAGAUAUGACACAGAACACCAAUUGCGAAGGCAGCUCACAAAACUGUAACUGACA
rnacentral:rRNA from 1 species